rnacentral:lncRNA from 1 species
UCCUAUUUACCUGAGAAAUCAGGAGACUUCUGUAGUUGUUCCAGAAAAAUGAGAAAUCGACUUCCUGGGUUUUAUUUUUGUUCCUCAUACAUCACCAGAAAAAAAACUAUGGAAUGAAAAAAUAAACACUCGUGUAUCAAGAAAUCCUCCUACGCUCAGUCGGUUACAAAAGAGUACUCCUACCGUCAUGCAAUUAUAGAAGAAUAUAUUUUCAAGAAUCAAAAUCAUAAAAUUUAAAAACUAUAACUAUAUAUUUACACAUACCUAUUAAGUGCGGGAUAAGUGAGUGAACUGG